UACGUAGGGGGCAAGCGUUGUCCGGAUUUACUGGGCGUAAAGCGCCUGUAGGCGGCCUGUCAAGUCCGGCCUGAAAGCCCCCCGCUCAACGGGGGAGGGUGGCUGGAAACUGGCAGGCUUGAGGGCGAGAGAGGAGGGUGGAAUUCCUGGUGUAGCGGUGAAAUGCGCAGAUAUCAGGAGGAACACCCGUGGCGAAAGCGGCUCUCUGGGACGGUACUGACGCUGAGACGCGAAAGCGUGGGGAGCAAACAGG
rnacentral:rRNA from 1 species